UCCCGAUAACCUAAAUGUUAGCUCGAAUUUGUAUGAAGUUAGAAUUUUGCCUACGUUUGCCGCUAGGGGCGCUAUUCCAACUUCAUACAAAGUUGAGUUAACUUUUACGCUAUCGA
rnacentral:pre_miRNA from 9 species